GAACUGGAGAGUUUGAUUCUGGCUCAGAUUGAACGCUGGCGGCGUGCUUAACACAUGCAAGUCGAACGCGAAAGGGACUUCGGUCCUGAGUAAAGUGGCGCACGGGUGAGUAACGCGUGGAUAAUCUGCCUCUAUGACGGGGAUAACAGUUGGAAACGACUGCUAAUACCGGAUACGCUCAUAUUUACCUAUGAGGAAAGGAUGGCCUCUGCUUGCAAGCUAUCGCAUAGAGAUGAGUCCGCGUCCCAUUAGCUAGUUGGUGGGGUAACGGCCUACCAAGGCAACGAUGGGUAGCCGAUCUGAGAGGAUGAUCGGCCACACUGGAACUGAAACACGGUCCAGACUCCU
rnacentral:rRNA from 1 species